CAUUAAUGGUUAAUUGUCAAUUGUUAAUGGUUAUGCCGGGUACACGGAAUCCGAACGCCGCCCUUUGUCAUUCCGAACGUAGUGAGGAAUCCCGUGGGGAAGAGGAAAGAGGUUCUUCGCUUACGCUCUGAAUGACAAAUUAAUGGUUAAUUGUCAAUGGUUAAUUGUUAUGCGUGGUUAUCCGAACGCAAAUUUCGCAAAUGACGCGAAUCAACGCAAAUAACCGCGUUUGUCAUUCCGAACGCCACCCUUUGUCAUUCCGAACGCAGUGAGGAAUCUCGCGGGGAAGAGGAAAGAGAUUCUUCGCUUCGCUCUGAAUGACAAUUUAAUUGUUAAUUGUUAUGCGUGGUACACGCCGAAUCAUGUAUUUAGAAAAUAACCAUUGACCAUUCAUUUCGGCGUUCGUCCAUGGGCCUCGGGCGGUGAGCCGACGGAGCAGCGAGCAGGGCGAAAGAAAAUCAGGCUGUCCGAAGCGAAGCGAGUUACCUGAUUUUCCGACCUGCAAGCGUCGCGAAGGCGUGUGAAGCGCCCGAAGCCUUGACCUUUUGGUUACUUUUGGGUCAAGCCAAAAGUAACGGAAAGAGCGCUCUGAAUGACAAAAGACCGAACGCAGAGGCGUUCGGAUGUGUCCAUUCGCGAAAUUCGCGUUCGUACAAACAGCAAAAUUGAGUAAUUUACUCAUUGCGUAACUUGGAGAGGCUGUUGUAUCUUUGUACCGUUAAGAACAAUAAACAAGAACGGUCAUAAAACAAAGAGGCAGACAAACGCAGCCGAUAACACCUCGAACAAGCGUGUUCGAGAAGACAUUAACAGUUAAAUGACAUAGAAUAUGCGCCGGGCGUAUACAUGCUUAUGGGGAUGCCCCAUACGUGCUUAUGGGGGCGGCGCAUACGUACCUGUCAAAUUAUGUCAGGCUUUCAGCCCUCCCAACGGGGUCGGGGAAUCGAUACCCCACCCUUACGGGAUGGGGCUGAAAUAUACCGGGCUUUCAGCCCUUGGGCCUCGGGCGAGCUAACCCCUUCGGGGCGUUGAGGUGUUGAGGUGUUCGAUUGUUGAUCUGU
rnacentral:sRNA from 1 species